CUUUAUUGCCUUUUUCUAUUUUGUAUACUGUGAUUUGUUUUCUUUACACUGUGUUUUACUUGUAUUCUGCUUUUAACUGCAUAUUAAAACUUGAAAAGA